rnacentral:misc_RNA from 1 species
UGAACCUGGUUGGGCAUCGGUG